GAUGAAGAACGUAGCGAAAUGCGAUAAGUAGUGUGAAUUGCAGAAUUCAGUGAAUCAUCGAAUCUUUGAACGCACAUUGCGCCUCCUGGUAUUCCGGGAGGCAUGCCUGUUCGAGCGUCAUCAAAAACCUCAACCCAUGAUUUAUUGUGAGUUGGUUCUGCAUUGGACUCCUUGUGGGUCCUUUGCGAAAUCCAAUGGCGAAGAGCCACGCAACCAAAGCGUAGUAUAACUAUUUCGUUAUGGAAGCGUGGGUGUCUCUGCCGUAACCCCCAAUUUCUUAGUUUUUGACCUCGGAUCAGGUAGGGAUACCCGCUGAACUUAAGCAUAUCAAUAAGCGGAGGA
rnacentral:misc_RNA from 1 species